rnacentral:rRNA from 1 species
AUUGAACGCUGGCGGCAGGCCUAACACAUGCAAGUCGAACGGUAACAGGGAUCAGCUUGCUGAUUCGCUGACGAGUGGCGGACGGGUGAGUAAUGUCUGGGAAACUGCCUGAUGGAGGGGGAUAACUACUGGAAACGGUAGCUAAUACCGCAUAACGUCGCAAGACCAAAGAGGGGGACCUUCGGGCCUCUUGCCAUCGGAUGUGCCCAGAUGGGAUUAGCUAGUAGGUGGGGUAACGGCUCACCUAGGCGACGAUCCCUAGCUGGUCUGAGAGGAUGACCAGCCACACUGGAACUGAGACACGGUCCAGACUCCUACGGGAGGCAGCAGUGGGGAAUAUCGCACAAUGGGCGCAAGCCUGAUGCAGCCAUGCCGCGUGUAUGAAGAAGGCCUUCGGGUUGUAAAGUACUUUCAGCGGGGAGGAAGGGAGUAAAGUUAAUACCUUUGCUCAUUGACGUUACCCGCAGAAGAAGCACCGGCUAACUCCGUG